AUUGAACGCUGGCGGCAGGCCUAACACAUGCAAGUCGAGCGAGCGGCGGACGGGUGAGUAAUGUAUGGGGAUCUGCCCGAUAGAGGGGGAUAACUACUGGAAACGGUGGCUAAUACCGCAUACUAUCAGAUGAACCCACAUGGGAUUAGCUGGUAGGUGGGGUAAAGGCUCACCUAGGCGACGAUCCCUAGCUGGUCGGAGAGGAUGAUCAGCCACACUGGAACUGAGACACGGCCCAGACUCCUACGGGAGGCGGCAGUGGGGAAUAUUGGACAAUGGGCGAAAGCCGGAUGCAGCCAUGCCGCGUGUAUGAAGAAGGCCUUAGGGUUGUAAAGUACUUUCAGCGGGGAGGCGUUACCCGCAGAAGAAGCGCCGGCUAACUCCGUGCCAGCAGCCGCGGUAAUUC
rnacentral:rRNA from 1 species